AAUUGUCUCCCAUGAAACUGGUCCCUGGUGCUAAAAAGGUUGUGGACUGCUGGUCUAAGCCACCCAGUUUGUGGCACUUGAUUAUGGCAACCCCAGGAAACUAAUAACGGAGGAAAUAAGUAAUUGGGAGAAAAUAAUACCAGAGGCCACUGAUGAGUGCCCAGGAAAGUCUCCAACAUGCUAAGGGCAUCUGCAUUGCCAGCGCUGGGGCUGCUAAAUGCCACGUGUGCCUCGGGGCGUGGCUUUCCUCUCGCGUCUGCUUCCUGCCAGCGUGAGUCUGCGUGGCUUUACCCGACAGCUUCUGAUCUCCUAACAGGGAGUUUGGGGGGCAGGAGCUGCCGUUUCAAUCUCGUGUUAUGACUGGCAGGUAGUGGCUGCAGCCUUUUAAUGUUGCAGGUGUUCUGACGGCUGCCCUUGGCACUCUAAGACAAUUCCAUUGUUGGUGCCCCUACCUCUUCUAUGGAGAAGCUCAGGGACUCACUGGGAACGCACGAGAGGCAAGGGCUCCAGAGAACAAGUGGAUGUUGGAGUCACACAUAUCUGCAUCCAGACCAAGCUCUGAGGGCCUGGCCUCCUUGCUUUGAUCCAGAACGGGCCCAUCUCAGGGGAUACCUGGCCUUUGUUCCUGACCACAGCCCCGGAGAGGGAGGGCAUAGCUUCUUUUCACGCAUUCCAAGGAGAAAGGGAGCGUGUUCCUGUUUCCGACCUUUGACACUGCCCGAACUUCAAUCAGAUCUUCAGAAACCUGCCUCUCUUCUGUACAUCAAAAGCACAGACAGGCUGAUGGGGACUCGGGGCACUUACCAUUUGCGAAGCUGGCAGUGAGACAAGAUGCUUCAGCCACUGUGUGGCUGUCAGACUCCGGAGUCAGAGCUCCGUGCCAUGGGGAAAAUACAGGAGGCCCUUGGAGGUUGUCGGGCAAGUGGGAAGAUGAAUCUCACACUUAUAAGAGACGGGCAUCAGCCCCCACACUUCUGAGACGCCUUGAGCCUUUCGGGACAAAUGCAUGAGGAAUCAGCUCAGUGAGGUGCGUGGGGCGUGGGGUGAAGUACAGACCCAUAGGAUGUGGUUCCAGGUGGAGGACAUUUUCUAGCAGAGAUUUAGAUGCUGUACCGUAUAAGGGGCAGCCAAGAUAGAGUGAUGGGGUCAGGUUACACCCCGGCUGAAACAGCCUGACCAAGUAUAUGAAGCAACAGUUUUCAGGACACUGGACAUCAGGCAGUGAAGGACAGUGGUCCCCAAGAAAUGAGAAACACCAGACUGUAAGCCCAAGUUCACCACCUGGACAGAGUUUCCAGGCAGCAGCACGGGGAGGGGGAUGCAGACAGAUCCCUCAGCCUCUCUGAGUUGAGGAGACUCUGCUAAAAAGUCCAGGAAGGCAGAGGCGGCCGCAUCAGAGUGCCAGAGACAAGAGAGAAAGCAGAGACCUGCAGAUUGGCUGAGGUCUCCCUAACAUCUCGUAUUGAGUACUUGCCAAUGGAUGGCAGUGAAAGAAUGACUUGAGGCCAGGGGAAAAAAAAAACCCUGAAAGAAUUAGAGGGGAAUGAUUCUAGAGCUCCAACGAGAUCAAGAAUAGUGCCUGCUCCCACAAGCCAGCCUGGGAAACCUCAUAAUUGAUGAACGUAGGGGAGAACACUCAGAGGGCCUAUGCCUUGGUUAUGCCUUGGUAUUGGGGCAAAAUAGUCCUCAAUGAAACACUACCCUAAGCCCGCGUACGAAAGCUUGAAAGCAAGACCAAAUAGAUCAAACUGUUUCCAAGUAACACAACCAUAUCCUGGAAAAAAGCACAAGCAUAUUUAUAGGAACACAAAAAUAUACAGCACGCAAUAAGGCAAAAUUCAAAUGUGUGGCAUCCAAUCAAAACUUAUCAGACAUGCAAAGAAGCAGGAAAAUAUUACCCAGAGAUAACACAAAUUAUAGAAUUAGUAGAUGAAAACAUUAAAACAGUUGUUAUAACAUUAUCCCGUGUGUUCAAGAAGCUAGAGGAAAGAGACUGAACACAGUCUCCGUAUAUACAGAUACAGGAGGAAAAAUACCAAAUCAGACUUACAGAGAUGAAAACUACAAUGUCAGGUAUGAAAAACUACACUGGAUGAGAUCAAUAGCAUUUUAUAUAUAUAUAAAUAUAUAUACACACACAAAAUAAUUUUAUGUAUUAUAUGUGUGUGUGUGUGUAUAUAUAUAAUAAUUUUAUAUAUUAUACGUGUGUGUGUGUGUGUGUGUGGUGUGUGUAUAAAUUUGAAGGCAUAGAAAUGUAAGCCAUCCCUAAGAGGUCAUGGGAAGGGAGCUGAAAAUAAUACACAAAGUAUCGAUGGACCAUGAGACAAUUUCAGUAGCCUAAUAUGGAUGCAAUUGUAGGUCUUAUUUUUACAAACUGAUCAAAGAGGGAGGGUGGAUAGGAAACGUGUAAAGGAGUACUGGCCUAAAUAUUAUUCAAUUGGAUGAAAACUACCAAGAAGCUCAAUGAACCCCAGGCACAAGUGUACUAGUCCAAUCUCACACCGCUAUGAAGAAAUACCCGAGACUGGGUAAUUUAUAAAGAAAAGAAGUUUAACUGACUCACAGUUCUGCACGGCUGGGGAGGCCUCAGGAAACUUACGAUCAUGAUGGAAGGCACCUCUCCACAGGCAGGAGACAGAAUGAGUGCCAGCAGGGGAAAUGCCAGACACUUAUAAAACCAUCAGAUUUCUUGAGAACUCACUCACUAUCACGAGAACAGCAUGGAA
rnacentral:lncRNA from 1 species